GGCGUUCGCCUUGCAGGUCGACGAUUCCUACGGGAGGCAGCAGUGGGGAAUAUUGGACAAUGGGGGCAACCCUGAUCCAGCCAUGCCGCGUGAGUGAGGAAGGCCCUAGGGUUGUAAAGCUCUUUCAGAUGUGAGGAUGAUGACAGUAGCAUCAGAAGAAGCACCGGCUAACUUCGUGCCAGCAGCCGCGGUAAUACGAAGGGUGCUAGCGUUGUUCGGAAUUACUGGGCGUAAAGGGCGUGUAGGCGGAUGAUCAAGCUAGGGGUGAAAGCCCAGGGCCCAACCCUGGAACUGCCUUUAGAACUGAUUGUCUAGAAUCCGUAAGGGGAGUGUGGAAUUCCUAGUGUAGAGGUGAAAUUCGUAGAUAUUAGGAAGAACACCAGUGGCGAAGGCGGCACUCUGGUACGGUAUUGACGCUGAGGCGCGAAAGCGUGGGGAGCAAACAGGAUUAGAUACCCUGGUAGUCCACGCCGUAAACGAUGUCUGCUAGCCGUUUGGACACUUAGUGUCUGGGUGGCGCCGCUAACGCAUUAAGCAGACCGCCUGGGGAGUACGGUCGCAAGAUUAAAACUCAAAUGAAUUGACGG
rnacentral:rRNA from 1 species